rnacentral:rRNA from 1 species
GACGAACGCUGGCGGCGUGCUUAACACAUGCAAGUCGAACGGAAAGGCCCUGAUUUUGUGGGGUGCUCGAGUGGCGAACGGGUGAGUAACACGUGAGUAACCUGCCCUUGUCUUUGGGAUAACUUCAGGAAACUGGGGCUAAUACCGGAUAGGAGCUCCUGAUGCACGGUGGGGGUUGGAAAGAUUCGGCGGUUGGGGAUGGACUCGAGGGUUAUCAGCUUGUUGGUGGGGUAGUGGCUUACCAAGGGUUUGACGGGUAGCCGGCCUGGGAGGGUGGCCGGCCACAUGGGGACUGAGAUACGGCCCAGACUCCUACGGGAGGCAGCGGUGGGGAACAUUGCACAGUGGGCGGGAGCCAGAUGCAGCAACGCCGCGUGCGGGAUGACGUGCUUCGGGUUGUAAACCGCUUUCGCCUGUGACGAAGCGGGAGUGACGGUAAUGGGUAAAGAAGCACCGGCUAACUACGUG